rnacentral:rRNA from 1 species
AGGAUGAACGCUGGCGGCGUGCCUAACACAUGCAAGUCGAACGUGAAACCCGAUGCUUGCAUUGGGGAGUAAAGUGGCGAACGGGUGAGUAACACGUUGGUGACCUGCCCCGAGAAGGGGAAUAACUCUGGGAAACCAGGGCUAAUACCCCAGAUGUUAAAGAGUUUAGAUGUCUUUAACUAAAGUUUUGGCAUCUCGGGAAGGGCCUGCGGGCUAUCAGCUUGUUGGUGAGGUAAUGGCUUACCAAGGCUAAGACGGCUAGGGGGCGUGAGAGCGCGACCCCCCACAAUGGGACUGAGACACGGCCCAUACUCCUACGGGAGGCAGCAGUGAGGAAUAUUGCGCAAUGGGGGAAACCCUGACGCAGCAACGCCGCGUGGAUGAUGAAGGCCUUCGGGUUGUAAAAUCCUUUUCUGGAGGACGAUAAUGACGGUACUCCAGGAAUAAGUUCCGGCUAACUACGUGCCAGCAGCCGCGGUAAAACGUAGGGGACGAGCGUUAUCCGGAUUUACUGGGCGUAAAGCGCACGUAGGUGGCGCUGUAAGUUGGGCGUGAAAGCUCUCAGCUUAACUGAGAGAGGUCGUUCAAUACUGCAGUGCUUGAGGUUGGUAGAGGAGAGUGGAAUUCCCGGUGUAGUGGUGGAAUGCGUAGAUAUCGGGAGGAACAUCAGUGGCGAAAGCGACUCUCUGGGCCUUACCUGACAUUGAGGUGCGAAAGCGUGGGGAGCGAACGGGAUUAGAUACCCCGGUAGUCCACGCUGUAAACGAUGGAUACUAGGUGUGGGAGGUUAUUUACCCCUUCCGUGCCGAAGCAAACGCGUUAAGUGUC